ACUACGGGUAGCUGCAGUGAGGAAUAUUGGUCAAUGGCCGGAAGGCUGAACCAGCCAUGCCGCGUGAAGGUCAAUGCCAUAUGGGCGUUUAACUUCUUUUUUGCGGGAGCAAUAAUGGUCACGUGUGGCCCGACGAGAGUUCCGUAAGAAUAAGCAUCGGCUAACUCCGUGCCCGCCGCCGCGGUAAUACGGGGGAAGCGAGCGUUAUCCGGUGUUAUUGGGUUUUAAGGGUGCGGAGGCGGAUGAACAAGUCAGCGGUAAAAUCGCGGGGCUCAACCCCGCCCCGCCGUUGAAACUGGGUCGCUUGAGUGCGAGAGAGGGAGGCGGAAUGCGUGGUGUAGCGGUGAAAUGCAUAGAUAUCGCGCAGAACUCCGAUCGCGAAGGCAGCCUACCGGCGCGCAACUGACGCUCAUGCACGAAAGCGUGGGCAUCGAACAGGAUUAGAUACCCUAGUAGUC
rnacentral:rRNA from 1 species